GAUUUCAACUGAAAAAGUUAUCAACAACAAAGUUGAAUAACUCAUCAAGAUUUAAAACUUUUAUUUUGAUCUUUUCUUUAUCCGAUAAAGUGAUACUAACAUUGUUCACAAAAUUGACAUAUCUCUUAUCUGGUUUUAUAAACUAUAACACAUAUAUGUAAAAUUUGUGAACAGUGUUACUAACACUUUAUCGGAUGAAGAAAUGACAAAAAUAAAAGUUUUAGAUCUUGAUGAGUUAUACAAUUUUGUUGUUGAUGACUUUUUCAAUUGAAAUC
rfam:Oryza punctata chromosome 8, whole genome shotgun sequence.